rnacentral:sRNA from 1 species
GUUACACCCUAGUUACCUCGGUUUAAAACACUAUUUCUACUACUACCAGUUUUAAUUAUAUGGAUUUUCUUUAUUAAAAAGAAACAGUUUUAAUUAAUUGUAUGGUUUUUAUAUAUCACAUUUUCAAAGACCAGUUUUAAUUGUGUGGAUUUUAAUAUAUAUUCAUGUAACUUUCUUUUUUUAAAACUCUAUGUUCUCUAUCAAAUCUGGAUUACUAUUAAGACCCUGUUUGUUUCUCCAUCCAGAUGGAUCAUCUAGAUGGAGAUGAAAAAUGAUGUUUGUUUUUGACAAUUUAACAUACCAUUUGGAUGAAUCACUAAGAUGAUCCAUCUGAAUGACUUUGUAAAUUUAGGCAAAUUUUUAAAACUCAUUUGGAUGGACUUGGUUGGACUUGGUUGGACCAUUUGGAUGGAGAUGAUUUAGUCAAAAAGAAUAAAUGACAAAUAUAACCUUUGUAAUAAUACUAAUUUUCUAUAAAGUUUUUUUU